rnacentral:lncRNA from 10 species
AGAUUGCAAACUGGUGGCUCAGGGGCCGAAUCUGGCUGGCCGAUCUCUUUGGCUUUGAGUUUGUGUGAGGAUUUCAGAAAGCUGGAAGAUGAUCAUAACAGGGAUUGAGAGAGCUCGGCACAGUGGCCUGGAUCACACAGUGACUCAUCUAAUAGCCCUGUGAGUUUGCCCAGCUUGCGGCAUCACAAAUUACACUUGCAGCCUCCUUAUCAGGCAAGCUAGGAAAUUAAACCUAAAUGGCUAUGGUGUUGCUAAGUAAUAUGGCUGCGUACACAGACACCCGAAGCUGAGACCAUCACGGGCCCAUUAAAGCAUCAUUUCCCGCUGUGGCUAAUGAGGUUUGAAUCCUUCAAAGGAAACCUGCUGUUCUUUUUUAAGGUCAGAAAGUGGGGUAACUCGGUUAUAAGCAAGAGAUAGAAUUUCCCUUCCUAGAUGCUAGGGGUGUGUGUGUUUAUGGGUACAUAUUGGAGCUCUGUGGUCUCAUGGCUAAGUGGC